AUGAACGCUGGCGGCGUGCCUAAUACAUGCCAGUCGAGCGAACAGAUGAGGAGCUUGCUCCUCUGACGUUAGCGGCGGACGGGUGAGUAACACGUGGAUAACCUACCUAUAAGACUGGGAUAACUUCGGGAAACCGGAGCUAAUACCGGAUAAUAUAUUGAACCGCAUGGUUCAAUAGUGAAAGACGGUUUUGCUGUCACUUAUAGAUGGAUCCGCGCCGCAUUAGCUAGUUGGUAAGGUAACGGCUUACCAAGGCAACGAUGCGUAGCCGACCUGAGAGGGUGAUCGGUCACACUGGAACUGAGACACGGUCCAGACUCCUACGGGAGGCAGCAGUAGGGAAUCUUCCGCAAUGGGCGAAAGCCUGACGGAGCAACGCCGCGUGAGUGAUGAAGGUCUUCGGAUCGUAAAACUCUGUUAUUAGGGAAGAACAAAUGUGUAAGUAACUAUGCACGUCUUGACGGUACCUAAUCAGAAAGCCACGGCUAACUACGUG
rnacentral:rRNA from 1 species